rnacentral:rRNA from 1 species
ACGUAGGGGGCAAGCGUUAUCCGGAUUUACUGGGUGUAAAGGGAGCGUAGAUGGCAUGGCAAGUCUGAAGUGAAAGCCCGGGGCUUAACCCCGGGACUGCUUUGGAAACUGUUAAGCUAGAGUGCAGGAGAGGUAAGCGGAAUUCCUAGUGUAGCGGUGAAAUGCGUAGAUAUUAGGAGGAACACCGGUGGCGAAGGCGGCUUACUGGACUGUAACUGACAUUGAGGCUCGAAAGCGUGGGGAGCAAACAG